AAUAAGUGAUGCACCCUAAGAAUCUUCUCUGCAGGAUCACAGCUCCAAGCUCCUGAUACACCUGACUGAACCCUUCGGUUGGAAGACACUCCUGAAAUACACCUUGUUCCCCUUCUGGGGCAGAGGUUCUGCAUG
rnacentral:lncRNA from 1 species